rnacentral:rRNA from 1 species
AUGUACAGCGGUUCCAAGCCCACCUCGGAGAUGAGGAACUCAGACCUGCGCUGCAUCCGUCCACCUGAAGGUGUUCUUCAAGUAGUUCACCCUGGCUGCGAUCUUGUCCUCGCUGAGAAAUGCAACAGCGUGCAGCGCGUGCCUGAACAUCCCAGAGGCACGGGGCACACCUAUGUUUUCAGCGCAUUCCACCAUCGCCUGGACACGCCCCAGGUUGGCGGUGAGAAGCCAUGGUUGCCUGCUGCAUAGCUUGGCAAUAUCACAAGCACCUAG